rnacentral:rRNA from 1 species
AUUGAGCGCUGGCGGAAUGCUUUACACAUGCAAGUCGAACGGCAGCACGGACUUCGGUCUGGUGGCGAGUGUCGAACGGGUGAGUAAUGUAUCGGAACGUGCCCAGUCGUGGGGGAUAACGUAGUGAAAAUUACGCUAAUACCGCAUACGAGCUAUGGAUGAAAGCGGGGGAUCGCAAGACCUCGCGCGAUUCGAGCGGCCCAUAUCAGAUUAGGUAGGUGGUGGGGUAAAGGCCCACCAAGCCAACGAUCUGUAGCUGGUCUGAGAGGAGGACCAGACACACUGGAACUGAGACACGGUCCAGACUCCUACGGGAGGCAGCAGUGGGGAAUUUUGGACAAUGGGCGCAAGCCUGAUCCAGCCAUUCCGCGUGCAGGAUGAAGGCCCUCGGGUUGUAAACUGCUUUUGUACAGAACGAAAAGGUUUCUACUAAUACUAGGAGCUCAUGACGGUACUGUAAGAAUAAGCACCGGCUAACUACGUGCCAGCAGCCGCCGUAA